rnacentral:tRNA from 1 species
GCGGCAUUAGUUUAACGGUUAGAAUACCUCGUUGUGGCCUCUCGACUGGUUCCGAGGAGAUGGUAGUUCGAUUCCACCAUGGCGCA